CCUACGGGUGGCAGCAGUGGGGAAUAUUGCACAAUGGGGGAAACCCUGAUGCAGCGACGCCGCGUGAGUGAAGAAGGCUUUCGGGAUGUAAAGCUCUAUCAGCAGGGAAGAUAAUGACGGUACCUGACUAAGAAGCCCCGGCUAACUACGUGCCAGCAGCCGCGGUAAUACGUCGGGGGCAAGCGUUAUCCGGAUUUACUGGGUGUAAAGGGAGCGUAGGUGGCAGGGCAAGUCAGAUGUGAAAACCCGGGGCUCAACCCCGGGAGUGCAUUUGAAACUGGCCAGCUGGAGUGCAGGAGAGGUGAGCGGAAUUCCUAGUGUAGCGGUGAAAUGCGUAGAUAUUAGGAGGAACACCAGUGGCGAAGGCGGCUUACUGGACUGUAACUGACGCUGAGGCUCGAAAGCGUGGGGAGCAAACAGGAUUAGAUACCCCAGUAGUC
rnacentral:rRNA from 1 species